GUGCUCACUUUGGGCAGCACAUUCUAAAAUUUGACAGAUACAGGAAGAUAGCCUGCCCUGCGCAAGGAUGGUAUGCAAUUCAUAAAGUAUCCAUUUUUU
rnacentral:snRNA from 1 species